rnacentral:rRNA from 1 species
CCUACGGGAGGCAGCAGUGAGGAAUAUUGGUCAAUGGGCGGGAGCCUGAACCAGCCAAGUCGCGUGAGGGAAGACGGUCCUCUGGAUUGUCAACCUCUUUAGUCGGGGAGCAAUGCCGGGCACGUGUGCCCGGAGGGUGAGUACCCGCAGGAUAAGCAUCGGCUAACUCCGUGCCAGCAGCCGCGGGAAUACGGGGGAUGGAAGCGUUACGCGGAUUUAUUGGGUUUAAAGGGUGCGUAGGCUGUGAGGUGAGUCAGCGGGGAAAUGCCCCCGCCCAACGGGGUGAAGUGCCAUUGAUACUGCCUGGCUGGAAUGCGGAUGCGGUGGGAGGAAUGUGUGGUGUAGCGGUGAAAUGCAUAGAUAUCACACAGAACACCGAUUGCGAAGGCAUGUUACGAAUCCGCGAUUGACGCUGAUGCACGAAAGCGUGGGUAUCAAACAGGAUUAGAUACCCGGGUAGUC